rnacentral:RNase_P_RNA from 1 species
GGAGCAGAUCAGAUGAUCGCUGGUCCGGAUACGUCCGGACGGGAGGAAAGUCCGAGCUCCGCAGGGCAGGAUGGUCGCUAACGGCGACUGGGGGCGACCCUAAGGAAAGUGCCACAGAAAAUAUACCGCCCGUCGCGUGCGGGUAAGGGUGAAAAGGCGAGGUAAGAGCUCACCGCUUCCCUGGCGACAGGGAAGGCACGGCAAACCCCAUCCGGAGCAAGACCGAAUAGGAGAACAUUUAAGGGUGGCCCGCCCGACGUUCUCGGGUUGUGUCGCUUGAGGCAGCAGGCAACUGCUGACCCAGAUGAAUGAUCAUCGCCGCCUUCCGGGUGACCGGCGGGCGGAACAGAACUCGGCUUACGAUCUGGUUCGACA